rnacentral:lncRNA from 12 species
AUGGCCCCAAAAUCCAGGGAGAUUCCUGGAAUUUCUGAGGAAAAACCUGGGAAAGAGAGUGGGCAAAAUAUGCAGAGGAAAUGCGACUUAAACUGGCCCAAAAAGCCUGGAAAUCACACGAACAAUGGUGCAAAAACUCUUGAAAUCCAUACUAAAAGACUUAAAUUCUGCCAAAAUUCCAAGGAUUACUGGGAAAAGCAUCAGGAAAAAACUAGGAAAAAAUCAGCCAGACAAACUGGCUAUAAGAGAUGCCAAAUUCCCCUAAAAAUCAAUAUGAAAAUGGCCCGAAAUAGUCCAAAAAUCAACACUGAAACACCCGAAACUGGUCAAAAUUCCAGGCAUUAUUGGAAAAACAUCAGGAAAAAACCCAGCAUAAAUUUGGCCUUGACAAACCAGAAAAAUGCCUAAAAUUUAGCACUAUGAAACACAGAAAUCCCCCAGAAAUUGCACAAGAAAUGGACAGAACAACACCUAACAUCUGCACUAAAAAAACAGAAAUGGCCCCAGAACACAGUGAGAGUCCAGGGAUUUCUGAGGAAAAACCUGGGAAAGAGAGUGGGCAAAAUAUGCAGAGGAAAUGAGACUUAUAUUUACCAAAAGCCCCUAAAUCAGAACAAAAAAAAGCUCAGAAACUCCUGGAAUCUGUACAAAAACACCUAGACUCUGCCAAAAUCCCAAGAAUUGCUGGGGAAAGCAUCAGGAAAAAUCUAGGGAAAAUUCAGGCUAACAAAUUGGCAAUAAGAGAUGCAAAAUACCCCUAAAUAUUAAUAAGAAUAAGGCCAGAAAUUAUCCUAAAAUCAACACUGAAACGCCCCAAACUGGUCAAAAUUAAAGGCAUUAUUGGGAAAAACAUUCGGAAAAAUCCAGGAUAAAUUCAGCCUAACAAAUUGGCACUAAGAGAUUCAAAACCCCUGUAAAAAUCAAUAUGAAAAUGGCUAGAAAUAGUCCUAAAAUCGACACCGAAACACCACAAACUGGUAAAAAAUUUUAGGCAUUAUUGGGAAAAACAUCAGGGAAAAACCCGGGAUAAAUUCAGCCUUAACAACCCAGGAAAAUGCCUAAAAAUUCGCACUAUGAAACACAGAAAUCCCCCAGAUAUUGCACAAAAAAUGGACAGAUCAACACCUAAAAAAACUAAAAUGUUGCACUAAAAAAACAGAAAUGGCCCCAAAAUCCAGGGAGAUUCCUGGAAUUUCUGAGGAAAAACCUGGGAAAGAGAGUGGGCAAAAUAUGCAGAGGAAAUGCGACUUAAACUGGCCCCAAAAGCCUGGAAAUCACACGAACAAUGGGCGAAAAACUCCCGAAAUCCAUACUAAAAGACCUAAACUCUGCCAAAAUUCCAAGGGUUGCUGGGAAAAGCAUCAGGAAAAAACUAGUAAAAAUUUAGCCUGUCAAACCAGAAAAGUCCCUGACAAUUUGCACUAAUAAAGGAAAAAUCCUCUAAGAAUCAAAGGGAAAAUUCCACCAAUUUUUCCUAAACUCACCUCAACCUCCCAAAACCCCACAAACCCCACUCAGAACCUCCCAAAUCCCAUCCGGGAUCCUCCAAACGCACCUGGGACGACCCAAAACCCCACAGGGACUCCCCCUCUCAAAUCACCCCAAAAACCAUAUGGAAGACUCCAAAACUACUCAAAUCUACAACAAAAUCCAUCACGGAGCCCCCAAAAUCCCUCAAAACUCGCCCAAAACCCAUCCAGGAAGCCUCAAAUCCCACCUGGGAUCCCCACAAAUUGCCCCCAAAAUCCACUCAGGACUCCUGAAAAUCCACCAAAGUCUCCUCAACCCCCACCUGGGACUCGGUAAACGCCACCUGAGACCCCCCCUAAAUACCACAAAUUCAUACCAAAAUUCACCUGAGACCCCCAAAAAUUUUUCAAACCAUUCCUAAGCCGACAAGGAAGGCCCAAAAAACCCCACAGGGAUUCCUCCAAAUCCCUCAAGUCUCCCUCUAAGCCCAACCAGGGGGGGGGGGGGGGGGGGGGGGGGGGGGGGGGGGGGGGGGGGGGGGGGGGGGGGGGGGGGGGGGGGGGG